rnacentral:lncRNA from 1 species
UGGAUUAUGAUUAUAUGUAGUAAUAGAUUGUUUUGAGGGUUCAAUUUUGGGAGAACAGUGGGAAAGAGAUAUAGAAUCUACUGUAUCCGUAGGGAUAGUAGUUCUAUUAUUGGUAAAUUGGAUUUCAAUAUUUCCAUCUGUAUGUUCUAUGAUUUUAUCUGGAAUAUUUUGUAUAGAUGUUUGAGAUGGUUGGUUCUCAUUAUGAAUGGACCAUGAUUUUGGUAACAUAAUAUCUGACCAAAAUAUUAUUUUUGGUAUGAUGGUAUUAGAUUUUUCUAUGUUGGUUUGGAAAAAUAUUGUUUGUCCUCGUGUGUCUACUUGAAGUACAUUGGGACAUAAAG